rnacentral:rRNA from 1 species
UAGAGUUUGAUCAUGGCUCAGGACGAACGCUGGCGGCGUGCCUAAUACAUGCAAGUCGAGCGAGCGGAACCAACAGAUUUACUUCGGUAAUGACGUUGGGAAAGCGAGCGGCGGAUGGGUGAGUAACACGUGGGGAACCUGCCCCUAAGUCUGGGAUACUAUUUGGAAACAGGUGCUAAUACCGGAUAAUAAAGCAGAUCGCAUGAUCAGCUUUUGAAAGGCGGCGUAAGCUGUCGCUAAGGGAUGGCCCCGCGGUGCAUUAGCUAGUUGGUAAGGUAACGGCUUACCAAGGCGACGAUGCAUAGCCGAGUUGAGAGACUGAUCGGCCACAUUGGGACUGAGACACGGCCCAAACUCCUACGGGAGGCAGCAGUAGGGAAUCUUCCACAAUGGACGCAAGUCUGAUGGAGCAACGCCGCGUGAGUGAAGAAGGUUUUCGGAUCGUAAAGCUCUGUUGUUGGUGAAGAAGGAUAGAGGUAGUAACUGGCCUUUAUUUGACGGUAAUCAACCAGAAAGUCACGGCUAACUACGUGCCAGCAGCCGCGGUAAUACGUAGGUGGCAAGCGUUGUCCGGAUUUAUUGGGCGUAAAGCGAGCGCAGGCGGAAAAAAUAAGUCUAAUGUGAAAGCCCUCGGCUUAACCCGAGGAACUGCAUCGGGAAACUGUUUUUCUUGAGUGCAGAAGAGGAGAGUGGAACUCCAUGUGUAGCGGUGGAAUGCGUAGAUAUAUGGAAGAACACCAGUGGCGAAAGCGGCUCUCUGGUCUGCAACUGACGCUGAGGCUCGAAAGCAUGGGUAGCGAACAGGAUUAGAUACCCUGGUAGUCCAUGCCGUAAACGAUGAGUGCUAAGUGUUGGGGAGGUUUCCGCCUCUCAGUGCUGCAGCUAACGCAUUAAGCACUCCGCCUGGGGGAGUACGACCGCAAGGUUGAAACUCAAAGGAAUUGACGGGGGCCCGCACAAGCGGUGGAGCAUGUGGUUUAAUUCGAAGCAACGCAAAGAACCUUACCAGGUCUUGACAUCUAGUGCAAUCUGUAGAGAUACGGAGUUCCCUUCGGGGACGCUAAGACAGGUGGUGCGUGGUUGACGUCAGCUCGUGUCGUGAGAUGUUGGGUUAAGUCCCGCAACGAGCGCAACCCUUGUUAUUAGUUGCCAGCAUUAAGUUGGGCACUCUAAUGAGACUGCCGGUGACAAACCGGAGGAAGGUGGGGAUGACGUCAAGUCAUCAUGCCCCUUAUGACCUGGGCUACACACGUGCUACAAUGGGCAGUACAACGAGAAGCAAGCCUGCGAAGGCAAGCGAAUCUCUGAAAGCUGUUCUCAGUUCGGACUGCAGUCUGCAACUCGACUGCACGAAGCUGGAAUCGCUAGUAAUCGCGGAUCAGCACGCCGCGGUGAAUACGUUCCCGGGCCUUGUACACACCGCCCGUCACACCAUGGGAGUCUGCAAUGCCCAAAGCCGGUGGCCUAACCUUCGGGAAGGAGCCGUCUAAGGCAGGGCAG